CUGGGGGACGGGCUACUAGUGCAAGUCGAGCGGUAGAGAGAAGCUUGCUUCUCUUGAGAGCGGCGGACGGGUGAGUAAUGCCUAGGAAUCUGCCUGGUAGUGGGGGAUAACGUUCGGAAACGGACGCUAAUACCGCAUACGUCCUACGGGAGAAAGCAGGGGACCUUCGGGCCUUGCGCUAUCAGAUGAGCCUAGGUCGGAUUAGCUAGUUGGUGAGGUAAUGGCUCACCAAGGCGACGAUCCGUAACUGGUCUGAGAGGAUGAUCAGUCACACUGGAACUGAGACACGGUCCAGACUCCUACGGGAGGCAGCAGUGGGGAAUAUUGGACAAUGGGCGAAAGCCUGAUCCAGCCAUGCCGCGUGUGUGAAGAAGGUCUUCGGAUUGUAAAGCACUUUAAGUUGGGAGGAAGGGUUGUAGAUUAAUACUCUGCAAUUUUGACGUUACCGACAGAAUAAGCACCGGCUAACUCUGUGCCAGCAGCCGCGGUAAUACAGAGGGUGCAAGCGUUAAUCGGAAUUACUGGGCGUAAAGCGCGCGUAGGUGGUUUGUUAAGUUGGAUGUGAAAUCCCCGGGCUCAACCUGGGAACUGCAUUCAAAACUGACUGACUAGAGUAUGGUAGAGGGUGGUGGAAUUUCCUGUGUAGCGGUGAAAUGCGUAGAUAUAGGAAGGAACACCAGUGGCGAAGGCGACCACCUGGACUAAUACUGACACUGAGGUGCGAAAGCGUGGGGGAGCAAACAGGAUUAGAUACCCUGGUAGUCCACGCCGUAAACGAUGUCAACUAGCCGUUGGAAGCCUUGAGCUUUUAGUGGCGCAGCUAACGCAUUAAGUUGACCGCCUGGGGAGUACGGCCGCAAGGUUAAAACUCAAAUGAAUUGACGGGGGCCCGCACAAGCGGUGGAGCAUGUGGUUUAAUUCGAAGCAACGCGAAGAACCUUACCAGGCCUUGACAUCCAAUGAACUUUCUAGAGAUAGAUUGGUGCCUUCGGGAACAUUGAGACAGGUGCUGCAUGGCUGUCGUCAGCUCGUGUCGUGAGAUGUUGGGUUAAGUCCCGUAACGAGCGCAACCCUUGUCCUUAGUUACCAGCACGUCAUGGUGGGCACUCUAAGGAGACUGCCGGUGACAAACCGGAGGAAGGUGGGGAUGACGUCAAGUCAUCAUGGCCCUUACGGCCUGGGCUACACACGUGCUACAAUGGUCGGUACAGAGGGUUGCCAAGCCGCGAGGUGGAGCUAAUCCCAUAAAACCGAUCGUAGUCCGGAUCGCAGUCUGCAACUCGACUGCGUGAAGUCGGAAUCGCUAGUAAUCGCGAAUCAGAAUGUCGCGGUGAAUACGUUCCCGGGCCUUGUACACACCGCCCGUCACACCAUGGGAGUGGGUUGCACCAGAAGUAGCUAGUCUAACCUUCGGGAGGACGUUACCCAUAGAGUAAAGC
rnacentral:rRNA from 1 species